rnacentral:lncRNA from 1 species
AGAUACAACAAGGGUCGUAUUUAAAAAUCAGUUUCAAAAAGGGUGUUGGAGGCCAAGUUUUUUGGAAUUUGGAAUAACUGAGAAAAAUGAACACUAGUGCGUCCUUACAGUAAGAAUUUCUAAGGCUACUAGAAGAGGACAAACCAUUCUUUCAAAUUUGGAUUCCACUGAAGUAUAGAGGAAAACACAACUGCUCAGUGCAAAGUACUCACUUGACUUCCAGAACUCUAACGUGAACAUUUUGUCAGCCCAGAUGUGGCCCAGUUGUUUUCAGUGAUUGAGACUUCAAGGCAAUCCCUCCAUAAACUGCUUAGCAUUUAGUAAAAGAUGAGUGAAAAAAAUGCCAACAUCUAUGCUAUUUUCAAUACAGUAUCAAUGUUCUAAUGCUGUAGACAGAUAUCCUCCUUCCAUUAAUAAUAAACACUUCAAAGGCCAAAUACAGUUUCCCUCACGCCUCCAUUUCAGUUUAAAGUUUUACUCCCCCUCAACUCCCACUCUUUCAGGACAUAACUAUUUUCUUCACACCAGAUUCCGUUUUAAUUUCUUCUUAAUUGUCCAUAGCGCGUUCUAUUUGGAAAGCAAUCUUAACGUGGCCCAGCCUUUAUUUCCAUUUGCUUUGGUGCCAAUGAACCGGAAUUUCAGCCAAAUCUCCGCCCUAAAGUUUCACCUUGAGCCACUUAACUUUGCUGCUCCUCCAUUUCUGAUAAGUAUAUCUGAUGGAUAAAUCACUAUAAGGGGUAACACUUACAAGGGGUGUCAAUAUGGGACACCAUUUGAAAUUUGGGUAGCUAUUGUCAACUGCCUUCCCAUAGAAGUUGUAACUAUUGACAUGCCCAAAAAACAGGUUUAUUUUUAAUUUUUUUUGAAGAGAUCUUUAAACAACCCCCUUCAAGAGGCAUCGUUGCCUUGUCCUGUUUCUGUGUUCUGUUUCGCUUUGGAACGGAUCUGUUGUGACCCAUGUAAGGGUUUGCUUUGAGAGAAAGUGGGUGCAGAAUCGUGUCUGGGGAAAGAGCAGUCUGCCCUUGAUGCCAGCAGGGGGCGCCCGCCCUCUUCUCAGUGGAACUUCGGUUUGGAAAUCACCCCCUACCAAGCAUGGCACCCGAGCCCGUGCAAAUUCCGACCCCAAGCGCAGUGGGAAGGACUUGGAAACAUCCUAACUAUCCUAACUCUUUCACGAGGCUUGUCAGUGACAGCUUCCUCUUAGUCAAGGACACUGCGUGGAUUAAAAAGAAAAACAUCAUGUUAUUCCAUGAUUAAUUUCUCCCUGUAAACAUGGGGCUGGGGGCCAGCACACCAGGCCCUCUCCCAACAUCAAAAUUGCCCCUGGUGGCACUUUCACAGCAGACUGAUAAAGCCCAUGUUUGGGGCAUGAGGGAAUAGAAAUGUGCUUUGUAUACAGAUAAAGAGCUUCUGUGGCCUUCUCUGAGGAUUGUCUACAGAUGAGUGUGAAAUAGAAGCCUGCGGAAGCUUCUCUGCCAGAUCCCUCUGCUGGAAAUGCAGCCCCCACCCUCCCAUUCAGGGUGGGAUUAGGGUGAGGCAAGUGAGGCUCUCAUCUGGGCGCAAAGUCUAAGGUGGGAGCACACCUAUCAUCAAACAAUAAUGCAAAGUUUUAAAAAAUAAAAAGUAAUGCAAAAACAUCCAUGAUGAAAAAAACCUCAAAAUUGUAAAUAAAGACAUGAUUUGACAUGGCA